GUUAAUGUAGCUUAAGCUAAAGCAAAGCACUGAAAAUGCUAAGAUGAGUAUAUAUACUCCAUAAACA
rnacentral:tRNA from 1 species